UUAGUGGAAGCGUCUGGAAAGGCGCGCGAUACAGGGUGACAGCCCCGUACACAAAAGCGCAUGUGCUGUGAGCUCGAUGAGUAGGGCGGGACACGUGGUAUCCUGUCUGAAUAUGGGGGGACCAUCCUCCAAGGCUAAAUACUCCUGACUGACCGAUAGUGAACCAGUACCGUGAGGGAAAGGCGAAAAGAACCCCGGCGAGGGGAGUGAAAAAGAACCUGAAACCGUGUACGUACAAGCAGUGGGAGCCCCACCACUAAGCCAGUGGUGAACUCCACAUACGCAUCCUUUGCUGAGGAUACGGUUAACGGAGCGAAAGCGACGUUCAACCUCAAAAGAAGCAGAGGGGGCUUAGUGGUGGGGUGACUGCGUACCUUUUGUAUAAUGGGUCAGCGACUUAUAUUCUGUAGCAAGGUUAACCGMAUAGGGGAGCCGGAGGGAAACCGAGUCUUAAUUGGGCGUUAAGUUGCAGGGUAUAGACCCGAAACCCGGUGAUCUAGCCAUGGGCAGGUUGAAGGUUGGGUAACACUAACUGGAGGACCGAACCGACUAAUGUUGAAAAAUUAGCGGAUGACCUGUGGCUGGGGGUGAAAGGCCAAUCAAACCGGGAGAUAGCUGGUUCUCCCCGAAAGCUAUUUAGGUAGCGCCUCGUGAAUUCAUCUCCGGGGGUAG
rnacentral:rRNA from 1 species